AAGUCGUAACAAGGUUUCCGUAGGCGAACCUGCGGAAGGAUCAUUAACACUUUUUUCGGAGUGUGGUUUUGAGAAGUUGUCUGUCAAAGGACGUACAUCUCCCACACACAAUCCACUCUACCCAAAUUGAAGUGCUAGUGGAAGGAAAUUUAACUUUCCCUUCCUUUUUUUUUCCCUUUCUCUUUAUUUAAAACCCCAAAAACAUUCGUGCUAAUGCUAUGUCAAAAACAAAAAAAACAAAAAAACUACUAACGUAACCAAACAACUCUUAGCAACGGAUAUCUUGGCUCUC
rnacentral:misc_RNA from 1 species